rnacentral:piRNA from 1 species
UCCUAAGUGCCACCAAAUUAUUGGCUCCAGC